UAGGGAAUCUUCGGCAAUGGACGAAAGUCUGACCGAGCAACGCCGCGUGAGUGAAGAAGGUUUUCGGAUCGUAAAACUCUGUUGUUAGAGAAGAACAAGGACGUUAGUAACUGAACGUCCCCUGACGGUAUCUAACCAGAAAGCCACGGCUAACUACGUGCCAGCAGCCGCGGUAAUACGUAGGUGGCAAGCGUUGUCCGGAUUUAUUGGGCGUAAAGCGAGCGCAGGCGGUUUCUUAAGUCUGAUGUGAAAGCCCCCGGCUCAACCGGGGAGGGUCAUUGGAAACUGGGAGACUUGAGUGCAGAAGAGGAGAGUGGAAUUCCAUGUGUAGCGGUGAAAUGCGUAGAUAUAUGGAGGAACACCAGUGGCGAAGGCGGCUCUCUGGUCUGUAACGGACGCUGAGGCUCGAAAGCGGGGGGAGCAAACAGG
rnacentral:rRNA from 1 species